rnacentral:rRNA from 1 species
ACUCCUACGGGAGGCAGCAGUGGGGAAUCUUGGACAAUGGGCGCAAGCCUGAUCCAGCCAUGCCGCGUGAGUGAUGAAGGCCUUAGGGUCGUAAAGCUCUUUCGCCAGAGAUGAUAAUGACAGUAUCUGGUAAAGAAACCCGGCUAACUCCGUGCCAGCAGCCGCGGUAAUACGGAGGGGGUUAGCGUUGUUCGGAAUUACUGGGCGUAAAGCGCGCGUAGGCGGAUUGGAAAGCUAGAGGUGAAAUCCCGGGGCUCAACCCCGGAACUGCCUUUAGAACUCCCAGUCUAGAGUUCGAGAGAGGUGAGUGGAAUUCCGAGUGUAGAGGUGAAAUUCGUAGAUAUUCGGAGGAACACCAGUGGCGAAGGCGGCUCACUGGCUCGAUACUGACGCUGAGGUGCGAAAGUGUGGGGAGCAAACAGGAUUAGAUACCCUGGUAGCACAGAG